CCCUUAGAUGUCCGGGGCCGCACGCGCGCUACACUGAAGGAAUCAGCGUGGCUUUCUCCCUGACCCGAAAGGGUUGGGAAACCCGUUGAAUCUCCUUCGUGAUAGGGAUUGGGGCUUGAAAUUGUUCCCCAUGAACGAGGAAUUCCCAGUAAGCGCGAGUCAUAAGCUCGCGUUGAUUACGUCCCUGCCCUUUGUACACACCGCCCGUCGCUACUACCGAUUGAACGGUUUAGUGAGGGCCUCGGAUUGGUCUCGGCCCGCUCUUUACCGGGCGGCGCCGUUGGUCGAGAAGACGCUCGAACUUGAUCGUUUAGAGGAAGUAAAAGCCGUAACA
rnacentral:rRNA from 1 species